rnacentral:ncRNA from 2 species
GCCAUCCUUCGGGGCGGGGUGAAAUUCCCCACCGGCGGUGAUCAGGCCGAGAGAAGAAUUGGUCUGUCAGCCCGCGAAGCCAAGCCAGAUUGCAAGACGGCGAGGCCCGACCCGGUGCAACUCCGGGGCCGACGGUGACGAAGCCGCGUUCAGACAGACGCUGCCUCUUAGUCCGGAUGAGAGAAGGAGGAG